rnacentral:rRNA from 1 species
UACGAAGGGGGCUAGCGUUGCUCGGAAUGACUGGGCGUAAAGGGCGCGUAGGCGGAUGGCACAGUCAGAUGUGAAAAUUCCCCGGGCUUAACCUGGGGGCUGCAUUUGAUACGUGUUGUCUUGAGUUCGGAAGAGGGUCGUGGAAUUCCCAGUGUAGAGGUGAAAUUCGUAGAUAUUUGGGAAGAACACCGGUGGCGAAGGCGGCGACCUGGUCCGACACUGACGCUGAGGCGCGAAAAGCGUGGGGGAGCAAACAGG